AUUGAACGCUGGCGGCAGGCCUAACACGUGCCAGUCGAGCGGAUGAAGGGAGCUUGCUCCUGGAUUCAGCGGCGGACGGGUGAGUAAUGCCUAGGAAUCUGCCUGGUAGUGGGGGAUAACGUCCGGAAACGGGCGCUAAUACCGCAUACGUCCUGAGGGAGAAAGUGGGGGAUCUUCGGACCCCACGCUAUCAGAUGAGCCUAGGUCGGAUUAGCUAGUUGGUGGGGUAAAGGCCUACCAAGGCGACGAUCCGUAACUGGUCUGAGAGGAUGAUCAGUCACACUGGAACUGAGACACGGUCCAGACUCCUACGGGAGGCAGCAGUGGGGAAUAUUGGACAAUGGGCGAAAGCCUGAUCCAGCCAUGCCGCGUGUGUGAAGAAGGUCUUCGGAUUGUAAAGCACUUUAAGUUGGGAGGAAGGGCAGUAAGUUAAUACCUUGCUGUUUUGACGUUACCAACAGAAUAAGCACCGGCUAACUUCGUG
rnacentral:rRNA from 1 species